rnacentral:rRNA from 1 species
AACGAACGCUGGCGGCGUGCCUAACACAUGCAAGUCGAACGGAGAUAAGGGGCUUGCUCCUUAUUUUAGUGGCGCACGGGUGAGUAACGCGUAGAUAAUCUGCCUGAUGAUCUGGGAUAACAGUUCGAAAGGACUGCUAAUACCGGAUAAGCCCACGGGGUCUUUGGACUCUGCGGGAAAAGGGGGGGACCUUCGGGCCUUCUGUCAUCAGAUGAGUCUGCGUACCAUUAGCUAGUUGGUAGGGUAAUGGCCUACCAAGGCUACGAUGGUUAGCUGGGCUGAGAGGAUGAGCAGCCACACUGGAACUGAGGCACGGUCCAGACUCCUACGGGAGGCAGCAGUGGGGAAUUUUGCGCAAUGGGCGAAAGCCUGACGCAGCAACGCCGCGUGAGUGAUGAAGGCUUUCGGGUCGUAAAGAUCUGUCAGAGGGAAAGAAGUGUAUUGUGGCUAAUAUCCACGAUACUUGACGGUACCCUCAAAGGAAGCACCGGCUAACUCCGUGCCAGCCGCCGCGGUAACAC